rnacentral:rRNA from 1 species
AUGAAGCCCGCCGCCGUGAGGAAAGACGCUGGCGGCGGCAUUGGCGGUGGCGCGUUCGGCAUCUCCUGCCUCGACAUCAAAUCCUUCGGCGCCUCCCUGGUGCUCUUCGCCCUCAUCAUGGCGCUCUGGCAGUUCCACCCGUACCAGCCAAUCCUCGCCAUCACCCGCUCCUCCUGUCCCCUCAUCCCUCCCCCAUCUACCGCCGCCACCGCCGCCACCACCACCACCACCGCAGUAUCCUUCUUCAACUCCACAGCCGACAGAGCCGCACCGACCACUGCCGCCAGCGCGACAAAGGCGCCAACCUUGCCAUCCCGGCCACGGGACCCCAACAAGCGGGAGCUCCGGCCGUACGGCAGCGCGGCGGCGCUGUUUGUCCAGAUGGGCGCGUACCGGGGCGGGCCGCGCACAUUCGCCAUCGUGGGGCUGGCGUCCAAGCCGGCGCACGUCUUCAGCACCCCUUACUUCAAGUGCGAGUGGCUCCCCAACCCGGACCCGGCCGGCGGCCCGCCGCCGAGGCCCGUCCGGACCAAGGCGUACAAGAUGCUGCCCGACUGGGGUUACGGCCGCGUCUACACCACCGUCGUCGUCAACUGCACGUUCCCGACCAACCCCAACGCCGGCAACCGCGGGGGAAAGCUCCUCGUCCACGCCUAUUAUUCCACCUCUUCCCGCCGGUACGAGCGCUUCGUCGCGCUCGAGGAGGCGCCGGGGUCGUACGACGGGUCCCGCUUCCAGCCGCCGUUCCCCUACGAGUACCUCUACUGCGGCUCCUCCCUCUACGGCAACAUCAGCGCCCCGCGGAUGCGGGAGUGGUUGGCCUACCACGCGCAUUUUUUCGGCCCAAGGUCGCACUUUGUUCUCCAUGACGCCGGCGGCGUCAGCCCGGCGGUCAAGGCGGUUCUGGAUCCGUGGGUGAGGGCCGGCCGGGUCACUCUCCAGGACAUCAGGGCGCAAGCAGAGUACGACGGGUACUACUACAACCAGUUCAUGGUGGUGAACGACUGCCUCCACCGGCACCGCCACGCGGCGAACUGGACCUUCUUCUUCGACGUCGACGAGUACAUCUACCUCCCCGACGGGCGGUCGCUGGAGGAGGUGCUCGGCCAGCUCGAGCGGUACACGCAGUUCACCAUUGAGCAGAACCCCAUGUCCAGCAAGCUCUGCGUGGAGGAUCCGACCAAGGGCUACUCGAGGCAGUGGGGGUUUGAAAAACUUGUUUUCCGUAAUUCGAUCACCGGAGUCAGGCGGGAUCGCAAAUACGCCAUUCGAGCAAGGAAUGCAUACUCCACUGGUGUGCACAUGUCUCAAAAUGUGUACGGGAGGACGACCCACAAAACCGAAAGCUUGAUUAGAUACUACCAUUAUCAUAACUCGAUCAAUGUCAUGGAGGAGCCUUGCCGGGAGUUUGUGCCGAAACCCACCAAUGGCAGCAAGGUAAUGUUUGAGGAGGUACCGUACGUCUACGACGAUAACAUGAAGCGUUUGGCGGGUGAUAUCAAGGGCUUCGAGGAGGAGACAGUUGGCGUGGUCUAUUCAUAG